rfam:Stegodyphus mimosarum contig113171, whole genome shotgun sequence.
GCCUUCGUUGUGUAGUGGUCAGCACACUGGGUGCGUAUUCCAGAGGUCCGUGUUUCGAAUCCCGGCGAAGGCG